rnacentral:tRNA from 3 species
GGGUGCGUAGCUCAGUGGUAGAGCAUCGGACUUUUAAUCCGCUGGCCUUGGGUUCAAAUCCCAACGUACCUA